GCAUCUGUGCAUGCAGCAUAUCAAUAAGCGGAGGAAAAGAAACUAACAAGGAUUCCCCUAGUAACGGCGAGUGAAGCGGGAAGAGCUCAAAUUUGAAAUCUUAAAGGGUUUACCUUUACGAAUUGUAGUUUAAAGAAGUGUUUUCUGCUGAGGUUUUGGUAAAAGUUCUUUGGAAUAGGACAUCAUAGAGGGUGAGAAUCCCGUAUUUGACCAUUAUUUUCAGCUUUGUGAUACACUUUCAAAGAGUCGGAUUGUUUGGGAAUGCAGUCCAAAAUGGGUGGUAAAUUUCAUCUAAAGCUAAAUAUUGGCGAGAGACCGAUAGCGAACAAGUACCGUGAGGGAAAGAUGAAAAGAACUUUGAAAAGAGAGUUAAACAGUACGUGAAAUUGUCAAAAGGGAAGCGUUUGACACCAGUGUUGUUUUUCUGAAAAUCAAUUAAAGAACUGUUUAUGCUAAGCUGUUUAGACUUUAUCAGCUAUCUGUUUAGUUUUGAGCUUUUCUUUAAUGCACUUUUCAGUUAACAAGUCAACAUCAAUUUCUUUUGCUGUAAAAAAGCUUGAGGAAGGUGGCUUGAGAUUCGUCUUAAGUGUUUAUAGCCUCUUGCCUAUGCAGUCGGAGAGAUUGAGGUCUGCAGCGUAGAUCCUUCGGGGCUAAAUGCAUUUGUGCUAAGUUAUAGCAUUUUAUAGACAACUUGUUGACUAUGAUUUGUCUUGUAGCUUACUCGCUUAUGUUAUUUUACCUACGCUUAGGAUGUUGAUAGUCACAGCGUGUAC
rnacentral:rRNA from 1 species